rnacentral:rRNA from 1 species
UUUCCUGUAGCAAUACAGGGAGUGGGCGCACGGCGCACGGGUGAGUAACACGUGGGCAACCUGCCCUUUGGAUGGGGGAUAACCCCGCGAAAGCGGGGCUAAUACCGCAUGAUAUUCAGAAAACCUCGGUUUUUUGACUCAAAGCCCGCAAGGGCGUCUAAGGAGGGGCCCGCGCCCGAUUAGCUAGUUGGUGAGGUAACGGCUCACCAAGGCUAUGAUCGGUAGCCGGUCUGAGAGGAUGGCCGGCCACACUGGAACUGAGACACGGUCCAGACUCCUACGGGAGGCAGCAGUGGGGAAUAUUGCGCAAUGGGCGAAAGCCUGACGCAGCGACGCCGCGUGGGGGAUGAAGCUUUUCGGAGUGUAAACCCCUUUCGACCCGGACGAAUGACCCGCAAGGGUUUGACGGUACGGGUAUAAGAAGCCCCGGCUAACUACGUGCCAGCAGCCGCGGUAAUACGUAGGGGGCCAGCGUUGCUCGGAAUUACUGGGCGUAAAGGGUUCGUAGGCGGUGCGGAAAGUUGGGAGUGAAAUCUCUGGGCUUAACCCAGAGGCUGCUUUCAAAACUUCCGUGCUCGAGUGCGAGAGAGGUCAGUGGAAUUGCAGGUGUAGCGGUGAAAUGCGUAGAUAUCUGCAGGAACACCCGUGGCGAAGGCGGCUGACUGGAUCGCAACUGACGCUGAGGAACGAAAGCUAGGGGAGCAAACAGGAUUAGAUACCCUGGUAGUCCUAGCCCUAAACCAUCAGGACUUGGGGUGGCCCGCGUAGGCGGGUCGUCCCGUAGCUAACGCGUUAAGUCCUGCGCCUGGGGAGUACGGUCGCAAGACUGAAACUC